rfam:Ixodes scapularis strain Wikel colony gcontig_1108379424158, whole genome shotgun sequence.
GCAGUCGUGGCCGAGUGGAUAAGGCGAUGGACUAGAAAUUCAUUAGGGUCUCCCCGCACAGGUUCAAAUCCUGUUGACUGCG